rnacentral:tRNA from 2 species
CGGAAUGUGGCGCAGCCUGGUAGCGCACUUGCAUGGGGUGCAAGGGGUCGCAGGUUCAAAUCCUGUCAUUCCGACCA